rnacentral:tRNA from 1 species
GUGGCUGUGACUCAGUGGCAGAGCACUUGCUUAGCAUGUGUGAGGCCCUGGCUUUGAUCCCCAGCACCACA